AAUCAAGUGCCUUAAGGGUGUUCGGUGGAUGCCUUGGCGCUGAGAGGCGAUGAAGGACGUGCUACGCUGCGAUAAGCCGGGGGAGCUGCGAAGAA
rnacentral:rRNA from 2 species